rnacentral:rRNA from 1 species
ACGGGAGGCAGCAGUGGGGAAUAUUGCACAAUGGGCGAAAGCCUGAUGCAGCGACGCCGCGUGAGUGAAGAAGUAUUUCGGUAUGUAAAGCUCUAUCAGCAGGGAAGAUAAUGACGGUACCUGACUAAGAAGCCCCGGCUAACUACGUGCCAGCAGCCGCGGUAAUACGUAGGGGGCAAGCGUUAUCCGGAUUUACUGGGUGUAAAGGGAGCGUAGACGGCAUGGCAAGUCUGAUGUGAAAACCCAGGGCUCAACCCUGGGACUGCAUUGGAAACUGUCAAGCUAGAGUGCAGGAGAGGUAAGUGGAAUUCCUAGUGUAGCGGUGAAAUGCGUAGAUAUUAGGAGGAACACCAGUGGCGAAGGCGGCUUACUGGACUGUAACUGACGUUGAGGCUCGAAAGCGUGGGGAGCAAACAGGAUUAGAUACCCUGGUA